rnacentral:sRNA from 1 species
CUGCUGAAGACAGGGCGCUCAGGGAAAGGGGGCCCCCCCAGCCACUGCCAGCUGUGCAGCCCAGUGGCCCGAUUAACAUGGAGGAGACCAGGCCCGAAGGAAGCUAUUUCAGCAAGUACUCGGAGGCAGCUGAGCUGAGAAGCACAGCCUCCCUCCUGGCCACUCAAGAAUCUGACGUGAUGGUUGGGCCUUUCAAGCUGAGGUCCAGGAAACAGCGGACUUUGUCCAUGAUUGAGGAAGAGAUCCGAGCAGCUCAGGAAAGGGAAGAGGAGCUGAAGAGGCAGAGACAAGUCUUGCAGAGUACACAGAGCCCCAGGACAAAGAAUGCCCCAUCGCUGCCCUCCAGAACAUGCUACAAAACUGCCCCAGGUCCUCGAGGCCACACGGGUUAAUCGAAGAAAGAGCGCACUGGCUUUGCGCUGGGAAGCAGGGAUCUAUGCCAACCAGGAGGAAGAAGACAACGAAUAAACUUCCUUCAACCCAGGAAGCGUCUUUGGUGCUUGGGAGACCAAGAAACCAAGAAAUUAACAACUGAAAGCAUUUUAAUGGACUAUUUAUUAAAGUGCAAACAAACUCAGCAAUCCUUAUGUAGACCAGAAGCUGCAAUAUACAAUGAUGAAAAUGAAACGAAAAGGAAGUCCCCCCAUCAGACUCUGGACACCCAGGAGUCAAAAGAGAAAGGAUUUUUUUGGUGACUCAAUCCCAGUGUCUGGUUUGGGGCCAAUCUACAAUGGAUCCAAAAGGACAAAACAUGUUACAAGCAAAUCAACAUAGUUGCUGCAGGCGGAACUGAGACCAGCCUCUCUGGGUGAUGAAGGACAAUGGUGGUAGGGCCACUUAGAGAGCAGUAGGGCCCAGGC